CUAGACUAACAGUGUAAUGCCAACGUAAACAACUGGUCGACACUAACAGUGAAAUGCCAACGUAAACAACUGGUCUAGACUAACAGUGAAAUGCCAACGUAAACAACUGGUCGACACUAACAGUGAAAUGCCAACGUAAACAACUGGGGCCUGUUGCACAAAAGUAGAAUUAAGACAUCCGGGAUAAAUGACUCAGCUGAGCUCAAUGAAGCCAAAACAUGUGCGUCCAGGCUUAAUUGGUUGCACAAAGACCAAGCCAGGAUGAGCAGACACGGAUUCAUUAAGCCAGGUGAAACCAAUCCUGGAUAGGUACGUGCUCACGGCUCACUCAAAUAGACCCCGCCACAGAUCACAGAUUAACUGAUUUACCAUGGCAACUAGAGCCGCGUACUUUUCCCCGUCGGAAGCACAAAUCCUCAUGGAGGCAUACGUAUUGCAGACCGCCUGAAUGCGUAAGUAGUGCACAAUUACACACUCACCGCUCCGCUGAAACAUCACAAUUACAAUUCAAAUAUUUAAUUCACAUCUCCAAAAAUGCAGUUGUACUGUAAUUAUGAAACGGUUAAAUUUUUAAUUGAAAUGCACUGCAGAUAUGAGUGAAAUUGUGUAAAGUAACUCCAUCACACUGUAUAAAGCUAUGAUAAAUUUUUUGAUAUUUUUACUGAAAACAAGACAAAAAUACCAAGUAAUUUUUUGCAGUGUGACUCCAUUAAAUGUGUGUGUGUGUGUGUGUGUGUGUGUGUGUGUGUGUGUGUGUGUGUAGAUUAAACAUGAACGGGCCAAAACGGACAUGGCAGCAGGUCAAAAUCAAAUACAAGAACAUUCUGCAGAAUGCAGUGAAAAAGAAUACCCACAGACAAGGCACGGGUGGUGGGUCACCAAAGGCUGACCUUACCCCAGCAGAGGACAUGGCCUUGGAGCUAAAUAAAGGCAGGCCCGUCUUAGAGGGGAUCCCUGGGGGGAAAGAGACGAGCAUAGGUUCCUCCCAAGAUGCCACCCGCUUCAUUCAAGUGCCUGGCAGCACUGUGUUCCUGUUAGAGCCACCAGCACAAGCACCAGACGAUGCUGAUCCAG